CCGGGGGGAGAGCCCCCCCCCCCCGCAGGUGGGCACCGGGAGGGGGGCGUCUGUCCGUCUGUCCCCUUGCCCGUCCGUGUGUCCGUCCCCUUGGCCGGCUGUCCGUGUGUCCGGCCGGCCGCUCCCCCCCCCCGGUCCAGGCGUCCGUCUCUUGUCAGCCUGGCCAGGUGUGUCCGGUUGUCCGGCCGCCCAUCCGAGUGCCUGCUUGUCCGUCCGUCUGUCCGUCCCGUUUUCCAUCUGGCUGGGCGAUGGGGUGUCCAUCUGUCCGGGUGUCUGUCUGUCUGGGUGCCCAGUUGCCUGUCCAUCCACCCAGGUGUCCGUCUGUCCGUCCAAGUGUCCGGUUGCCUGUCUGUCCACCCAGGUGUCCGUCUGUGCGUCCAGGUGUCCGGUUGCCUGUCCAUCCACCCAGGUGUCUGUCUGUCCGUGUGUCCAUUCGUCCAGGUGUCCGGUUGCCUAUCUGUCUGUGUGUCUGUCCGUGUGUCUGUCCGUCCAGGUGUCUGCUUGCCUGUCCAUCCACCGAGGUAUCCGUCUGUCCGUGUGUCCAUCCAUCCAAAUGUCCGGUUGCCUGUCCAUCCGCCCAGGUGUCUGUCUGUCUGGAUGUCUGUCCAGCCGUCUGUCCAGGUGCCCGCCCGGUCUUCCGUCUGUCCGUCCCCCCGCCUGCCCAGCUGUCCCUCUGCCCGUCCCUCUGGGGGCCCAGGUGUCCGUCUGUCCUGCCGUGCAUCCCGGGCAUCCGUCUGUCUGCCUGGGGCCUGUCCCUUGUGUGUGUCCAUCCGUAUGUCUGUCUGUCCAUCCAUCCCCCCUCCUUCCAGGUGUCUGUCCAUCCGUCUGUCUGUCCGGUUGUCCAUCCAUCCCCCCUCCUUCCGGGUGUCCAUCCGUCCAUCUGUCUGUCUGCGUGUCCCUGAGAUCCAGGGGGUGUCCACGUCCGCAAGAUGGGGAUGGACGGACGGACGGACGGACAUCAGGCCUCAACCCCAUCCCCCCGCCUCAGUUUCCCCAUCCCAAAAGGACCAAUCUCCCCCCGACCCGGGGGUCGUCCCCUCCCCUGGGACCCCCCACCCCCCACCCCAAAUACCCUCGGGUGCUGGAAAGUCCCCAAAUCCCAACUUCCCCUUCACCGGUGGGGGGGUGCUUGUGUACGGGGGGGGGACGCGGGCCGGGGACAUCUGGGUCCCACUGACACCCCCUUUCCCCUCCCACGCAGGUUGCAACGGCCGCCCACCUGCUGCUGAGCACCGGCUCGCUGGCGGUGUCCUCCAGACCCAUGUGGCGCUACGAGGAAGGCAUCAGCGGAGUCUUCCUCAGCAGCGACGUGGAGGCGACGGCCGCGGGGCUGCGGGUGGCGGCGGGGGGGCUCUAUCUCCUCUACGGCCAGUUCGCCCUUGCCUGCACGGCGGAAAAUUGCCCCCCCGGCAACGUCACCCUCCAGCUCCGCCGCGCCGGCUCAGCGCCCCCGCUGCUCUCCGUGCCGCUGGCGUUGCCCAGCGGCACUGAACCCGGCCCGGCCCGCUCGGGUUUGGCUCAGGCCGUGGGACAGCUGCAGCCCGGCGACGUCCUCGACGUGGCGCUGGUCGGGGACAUCAACGGGGACGAGUGGCAGAUGGCGCAGGACCAGCGGGAGGGCAAUUUCGUGGGGCUGCUGCGCAUCGCCGGGGGGUGACGGCUGGGACGCGGCCCCUGCUGGCACGGAAAGGGGGCCCGGAGGGGUUUGGGGGCGGUCACCCCCCCGGUUGAAGGUUUGGGGACGUCGAGGGACAUUGCUGACCUCCAUGCCUGGAGAUCUGGGGACAUCAAGGGACAUUGCUGACCCCCAUGCCUGGAGAUUUGGGGCUGGUGACACCCCUGCUCAGAGGUGGGGGACAUCAGGGGACAUCGGAGACCUCCACCCUUGAAGAUUUGGAACAUUAAGGGACAUUGCAGACCCCCCCCCAUUGAAUAUUUGGUGCUGGAGAUCCCCAGCUUGGAGAUCUGGGGACAUCAAGUGACUUUGCAGACCUUCGUGCCUGGACAUGGGGGACACCAAGGGACCUUGCAGGCCCCCCUGCCUGGAGAUUUGGGGUACUGAAGCCCCCUCCUUGGGGACAUCAAGGAACCUUGGAGGCCCGACCCUCAUGCUGGACAUUUGGGGACAUCGAGGGACCUCACAGACUCCCAUUUUGGGGACAGCAGGGACUGUGGAUCCCCCCCCAAUGCCCAGAGGCAUGGGGGGUCCCUGCUGCCUCCCCCUCCCCCCCCCAGCUGGCCUGGGGGGGGGCCUCCCCCCUUAAGUUAUUGUCUGGUACUCGAAGCCACUUUAUUUAUUAAUUAAGUAAAUUUAUUUAUGGUUCCUGGUGCUCCAAAGUGGCUUAAUUUCCCCCUAAAAAGGGAGAUUCCCUGAAGUCCCCCCUAGAGGGGGAGCGGAUUCCUGGACUCCUACGUGCAUGUGCAGUUUUGCGCGUGUGCUCACACAAGUAGGUGUGCAAAUGCACAUGCACGUACAAGGCGAGCCUGUUUG
ensembl:lncRNA